rnacentral:lncRNA from 1 species
GGCGUCCCGAUCCCGGCGUGGCUUUCCCCAGUCCACGAAGUCUUCUACGGACAUAUCCUCCUGUUCCCCAAGAGGAUGGCACAGGGAGAGUUCUGAGUGGUCUCGGGCAAUGGCUGCAUUUGCUGUUGGCCUGUAAGCAGGCCAGAAGCAGAGGAAGAGAGAGAAGGCACUACUUGGUUUGGGACAAGUCAGAGGCGAAUAAAAGCUCUUCCUGCCUUGAAGAAGCUUACAGUUUUGUGGGAAAAUGAUCUGCAAUGGGAAUACAUACGAUAUGACAAAUGUUCUAUUAUGAAAAUGCAUGCCUGUAUUCAACUUAGAACAUCAAAGUAAUCUCAGAUACUAACAAGAAUGUCCAACGAAUCUCUACAUAAGUGCAGGCUUUUUUUUUUUUUUUUUUUUUUAAUGAGAAGGAUUGAAAAUACUAUCCCGUGACAGGUCAACCUUGUCUUGGAAAUCUCAGAAAUCUCAAUCUUAUCCAUAGAAAAGUCAUGACUUCUGUGCUUAUGUCCAUUUGUUCUUUAAAUACCAAACUGUCAGCUCAUAGGAACCAUUUACACACACACACUGACACACACACAAACACGCACACCCCUACUUACUGAGAUGUUCCUGGGGAGAUUCGAAGACCUGUUCCAUUGAGAAAACAAGAAUAAGCCCCUGGGGCAAAAGACUCCGCGUCUCUGGGGAACUCAGUAUCCGCGCCGCGAGCACCCAUGCCCAUUUUGAACACAACGCGACUGCUAAGGACGUGGUGUAAUCAUAUGGACCUUCACUCCCAAGAGACUCGAUUUCAGAGAAAAUCUGGGAGACAAAUUUAGAUCCCUACCCGCACCCACGCGAUCAAUAAAGCUGGGGAGACCUUUGGGGGAGGGGACAGAUGUGCUUGCAUCCGGGCCGUGCGUGCCUGCUUCACGGGUUUUCCGGGCAGCACCGGCCCGCACACGCCGGUGCACUCUUUUUCUGGAAUUCUUGAAAUAGCCGGGCCUGAGGACAGUAAGGGAGCUGAGUUGUGUCUGCUACAGACAAGCGGCGCAGAGCCUGGGGGCCAAGCCAGGGAUGCAGGGAGCGCGGCGUUAGCGGAUGACGGAUAGCUCAGGGCUAAGGCCUGGCAGGUCCUUCCUACCCCCGACCCAGUACACCCCGCAGCCCCGCCCUCGCCCCAGCACGCGAGGUGAAAGCGCGAGGCCCGGGGAUGGCGGAGAGCGUGCGCCACUAUCGGGGCGCUGUCUCUUGCCCCGCUCUCGCCCUGGGCCGGAGAACGGAGAAGGUCCGCAGGCCUCGGGCCACGGAGGGCACCAGAUCGGUCCGCUCUGCUCCGCUAACCCAGCCUGCGCCCCUCCACCCCGCCAAGGCCCUGCUGGGCGCUGCGCCGGUUGCUCGCGUCCUCUGUUGUCGCGGAGCCGCCGCCGCCGCCGCCCGCGAACCAGCAACGCCGACACCCAGCAGUUGCAGGCCCGGCGUUUGCCGCCGCGGUUUUUCCACCCAGCACUGAGGAUCAAGCCCGCUGUAGCCUGGCUGCGACUCCCCGCUUGGGAGCAGAGGCCGCCAGGGGCCUCCAGGCCGAGAGAUUCUGGAGCCUUUCCAGGGCGCGGCGGGGAGCGGGGCCUCCGGAAACCCACCCCGGGGAUGCUGGAGUCUGUCCUGCAGAGGCCGUGGCGCGGGCACUGCUGCCUGAUUUCGAAGAGGCUCCAUCAACCUACUCUCUUCCAAAGGGCUGGGCAGCCCAGCCACAGACAGGCAGCCUCUGGAUCUCAGAAGUGAGGGACGGAGUCUAUCCUGGGUUUGGUCCAGUAGAAACCCCCCACCCCCACCCCCAGAGUCUGGGAACCAGUGCUGUGCCCACAGAUGCAAAGAGAAAGAGCAUGGGUUAAAGCGCUAUUGGGAUCGGUUAGACACCACACUUUUCCAAGGAAGACAUUUUCUUCGAGAGGAACAGCAAAAGGAGUCAAUAUAAUGUUAAAAAUAUUAAGGCAGGUGCUGUGCCACAUGUUGAAGUGAUUCCAAAAGCAGAGAAAACAUGGGACUCACAUUUAAGAGGAUUAAUUGUAGCCUUUGAGUUUUUCCCAGAAAAAAAAAAAAGGCUAGCAUAUAUAUUUUCAUAUAUUUAUAUGAACAGGUAAUUAAAUAAGGAGGGAUUUUAAAAAAUUGUCUAUUUGGAUAUCGUUUUCCUUUCCAUUUGAGGAAAAGCCAAAUGCAAAUAAGGAGAAUAAUAUUUAAAGAACAUGCUUUUAAUAGAGCCUCAAUUAUCCUUCUAAUUUAACCAAGAUGAAAAUAAUUGUGAAAUAAAGCAAAAUAAAAUCUUGGAAGCAUAAAUGUGUUAUACAUUGUUCUUUUGUUUGUUUGUUUGAGACGGAGUCUCACUCUGUCUCCCUAGGCUGGAGUGCAGUGGCG